AAACUAUUUGUCUUGAAUCGAUUCUGAAGAAAACCCGACUCAAUGCCCAAAGCAGCUGAAAUGAAUUGCAAAAACUACCAGGACUCCACUAAUUUGAAGAUAACUACAAUCAAGAACUGCUUGGGGGAAAAGUGGUAUGUCAACAUCAUACAAAAUCAGCCAAUAAAGAAGAAGUAGAGGAAAUAAAUGCAACAAAGGUUGUUAAUGAGAGAUAUUCCACUCUGAUCCAAAUUAUACAAGACACUGGAGCAGACAAAACUUUGAUUGGAAGGCUACACAGCAACCAUGCACAGACGCAUUGUCAUACAAGAGAGUAUUUAAAGCGAGACAGACUGGAAUCCAUGGAGAUUCAAUUCGAGGACUUGAAAAUGCCAAUUCUUGCAGUUUCUUGUGGCAAAAUGUAACGAAAUUACUGUGAAGAAAAUGCUUCACAAUCAGUUUGUUUUUGAUGGUUUAAAUGACUUGGCGGGGACUUACAUGUAGGCGUAUGUUUUUAGGAAACUUCAAUUUGUCCCGUUCGUUUGAUCGAAUUUAUCCUGUAAUGCUCUCUCUCUACCUUUCAUAAUCAUAAUCUCCUUAAUUUGAAUUUCCAACCUGCGAAUGGGCAUACUAUGCCUCUCUUUUGCUCGAUUUUUCUCUCUUGCCUUUCGCCUUUAGUGGAAAGUUGAAAAUACAGUAUAUAAGCAUGACUGCCCUGACAUUCAAGUUACUUUUGGACUUUUAGGUACUGUAUUGUAAUAAAUAUUUUUCAGAAAAAAGGAUUUCUGUUACGAGGUAUAAGAGUAUAGAAACCAGAAGGUUUAUUGAGAGUUGGCAAUGACUUUUGUUGGACGCAAGAUAAUGUUCGUUGUGGAAGCUGGGAAAUACGACAAGACUCACAAAUUAUUACAUGACUGUGCUAACCUAUAAUGUGAUCUUAAUCCAC